UACGGAGGGUGCAAGCGUUAUCCGGAUUUAUUGGGUUUAAAGGGUGCGUAGGCGGCUUUGUAAGUCUGGGGUUAAAGGCGGCAGCUUAACUGUACGCAUGCCCUGGAAACUGUGAAGCUUGAGUAAUUUGGAGGUAGCUAGAAUUCCCUGUGUAGCGGUGAAAUGCAUAGAUACGGGGAGGAAUACCGAUUGCGAAGGCAUGUUACUACGAAUUAACUGACGCUGAUGCACGAAAGCGUGGGGAUCAAACAGGAUUAGAUACCCUGGUAGUCCACGCCGUAAACGAUGAUUACUAGUUGUUGGUUGAAUAGAUCAGUGACCAAGGGAAACCGAUAAGUAAUCCACCUGGGGAGUACGCCGGCAACGGUAAACUCAAAG
rnacentral:rRNA from 1 species